AGUCCUUCGCCGUCCCUCGCCGUCCUUCGCCAUCGCACGCCACCGCACCCCAUCUCUCGAAAUCUGCAGACAUCUUGAUUUUUCCCACGCUGUCUGUCAGGUCUCCGCCGCCACUCGACGCCAGGGCGCCGGGCCUUGUGGGCUGUGCUGCACCUCGGACGGCUUCGCACCAGCCAGCGCCCUCUCUCUCCUGCAGCACUCUGAUCUGCACCCCCUGAGGGGCUUCCACUGUCCGCGGGGUGAGAAUGCCCCUGGGAGUGUCACAUGACUGCCGCCCCAUGUGUGUGAGAGGCGUCCUCUGGGAGAGCAUGGAUCCUGAGGUCCCAGGAUUGUCAGCUGACCUCUGUCCUGUGUGCCCAGUGGCCCCAGGUGACGUGUCUUCAAGAAGAGGCUGAGCUGCGGUGCUUGUAAGGCAGGGUCUCAUUCUGUCACCCAGGCUGGAGUGCAGUGGUGCAAUGAUGGCUCACUGCAGCCUCGACCUGGGCUCAAGUGAUCCUCCACCUCAGCUUCCUGAGUAGCUGGGACCACAGAGUCAUGUGCUGUUCCUGGGGCUUGGAUGAUGUAGGGGAAGCAAGGUGAAAGUGGUAUCCCGUGGUUCCACGUUCUGUCCUGCUGUGGGGCUGUCCCUCACAUGCUUUCAGUGGCUGUUGCAGAGGAAGAGCCUCCGGAAAUCUGCGUGGGUAAAGUCUCAGCCUUAGAUCCAAGGACAGUCCAAGGAAGUCCUAAGACCAUGGAGUUGGUGAUCUGGGAUCUGGGUUUGCUGAUAUUUCUCACCGUGAAUCUCUUGGUGGUGUUUGUGGGCACGAGAGGGGCAGAGAAUGGAGAGUGAGGCUACCACAUGAAGCGUCACCAGAGCUGCUCCCUGCUGCCUGCUCAGAGCACCCCGGAUCCACUGUUCAAUCUGCACAAGAUUCGGGGUCCAGACAUGGGAGACUUCAGCUGCCUCAGAGGACCGUGGACAGGGAAGGCCAGCCUCGCAUCCCUCUGUCCAUGCCUGGAAUGACUUUAAUAACCAAGAGUUUUAUUUUUGAAUUUGUAGCUGUCGUUCACUUUUUACCCACCCAUUCAAUAAACCUUACAGAAUUGCUCCA
rnacentral:lncRNA from 1 species